rnacentral:rRNA from 1 species
GAACCGUGCAAACGUUGUUCGGAAUCACUGGGCUUAAAGGGCGCGUAGGCGGGCCGGCCAGUCUGUGGUGAAAUCCCCCGGCUCAACCGGGGAACUGCCGUGGAUACUGCCGGCCUCGAGGAGGGUAGGGGCGUCUGGAACUGCCGGUGGAGCGGUGAAAUGCGUUGAUAUCGGCAGGAACUCCGGUGGCGAAGGCGAGACGCUGGACCCUUUCUGACGCUGAUGCGCGAAAGCCAGGGGAGCAAACGGGAUUAGAUACCCCGGUAGUCCUGGCCCUAAACGAUGAGGACUAGAUAGCGAGGGAGACAUGCCCCCGCUGUCGGAGCAAAAGUAUUAAGUCCUCCGCCUGGGGAGUAUGGUCGCAAGGCUGAA